UUGCGUCCAUAUCAUGUUGAAACGCCGGUUACCGUACGAUUACCGAAGUUAAGCAAUGUCGAGCCUGGUCAGUAUCUAGAUGGGUGACCUCUUGGGAAUACUAGGCGCUGCAAG